UUCAAUGAAUAUACUCCGUAACGUGAUAGUUAAGUUGCCUAUACACGCCUGCUCCUAAUGAAAAAUCCUAGUUACAAUUAAUUGCGAAAAAUGUAAGUUCCUGCAGUAGAUGUAUAACAGCACAGUUGCGUUAAAGGAUUAAUACAUGUCAAAUGUAACCGCGUAAACUUUGACAAAAAUGUUAUUAAACUAGAAAUGAUAUAAAAAAUAUCAAUUUAUCCAGAUGGUUCCCAAACAUUUAGCAGUCUUUCACACACAAUGAUAAACCCGUAAACAUCUACAUAAAUGUAUUUUAGCGCUGCAAAUAACGAUAUGAUAUAAAAGGGAUAAGGAAACAAAAAAUUUGCUAAGGCUGCUGUGAAUUAUUCGCUGUGAAUUAUUUUUAAAAAUACAUAGAAGUACGUGAAAGACUAAUAUGAAGAUGGCAAUGCCAAGAUAUUCUUUUUUGUAGGGAGUUCAAUUUAAGAAAUACGUGAUGUAAACAAGUACAGCUGUUUGGACCAAAACUAAACAUUCCGUGUUCGUCGUUUUGUUGUUAUACGAGGAGGAUCGGCUGCACUCGCUCGUUGCGCACUCCUGUUUGGCGCAAUUUCGGAAUAAGCGCCUGUGUGUUGAACGGUUGACAUCGAUAAAUUAUUAUCGUACUGCCGCACAGAAGUUGUUAGUGAUUUUUGUGCAGUGAACUUGUGUUGUGGUCUGUGGUGAAAACGAAUUAUUUUUAGUGUUAACUAAAUUAUUGUUUAUAUUAAAUAUGAGCAUUGCUGCUUUGCUUGAGGCUGCAGAGUACUUGGAAAGGCGCGAAAGAGAGGCCGAGCAUGGUUAUGCCUCUACAUUACCCAUGCCAGAUGAUCUCAGAAAUGUUUACAAAAGGCCAAAGACGAAAAAAUCUCAGGGAAACAGGACAUCUCAUAAUGAGCUGGAGAAAAAUAGGUGAGUUGUAUUACUUUUGUUUUAUAAUGCGGUAAGCCUUUUGUUACUUAUCGUACUUGCAACGUGUUUGAACUUUGAAGGUAGGUACACAAUUGCGUAUUAGUGUGCUGUGCCGAUUGACAACUGAGUAGAUUAUAAGGUGAUGCCAUGCAAUGAGCUGAGCAGUGCAACAAGGCCGUUCUCAUUCGCUUGGUAACAAACCUUUCCUCUGGCUGAACUGAGCCGCUUCGUAUAACAAUCUCCCCCGUAAACCUUUGAAAGUGACGUGGAUAUUGUGUUUAUAACGUAAUUUAAGUCGUCUAGCUGUAUUUAAUUACAUAAAAUUCAUAAAACGUUCUGUUAAAACCAUUGAAUAAUAACAUAAUGCUAUCUACUUACAUACGGUAGUUAUUUAUAGUUAGUUACCGAUUCAUAAUUAUCUAAUAUUAGAUCGUAAAUACUAACGCUCAUUAGAUUACCUUUCAAACACGAUCGGGUGACGACUGACGAGCACAGCACGGCAAUAAAAGUGCAAAAAAAGAUUGCAUUUUCUUUAUCAUCACCAGCAAGAUAAUUUAUUCAUUUUCUAAUUAUCGCUAAACUAAUACUAACAACGAUGAUAAGAAUAACAUUUGACCUUUGAAAUUGUCUUGCGGUCGAUCGUCAUUAUUUUCAACUA